rnacentral:rRNA from 1 species
AUUGAACGCUGGCGGCAGGCCUAACACAUGCAAGUCGAACGAGUGGCGGACGGGUGAGUAAUAUCUGGGAAACUGCCCGCUGGGGGGGGAUAACUACUGGAAACGGUAGCUAAUACCGCAUGCGAUCGGAUGUGCCCAGAUGGGGUUAGCUAGUAGGUGGGGUAACGGCUCACCUAGGCGACGCUCCCUAGCUGGUCUGAGAGGAUGACCAGCCACACUGGAACUGAGACACGGUCCAGACUCCUACGGGAGGCAGCAGUGGGGAAUAUUGCACAAUGGGCGCAAGCCUGAUGCAGCCAUGCCGCGUGAAUGAAGAAGGCCUUCGGGUUGUAAAGUACUUUCGGUGAGGAGGCGUUACCCGCAGAAGAAGCACCGGCUAACUCCGUGCCAGCAGCCGCGGUAAUUC